rnacentral:rRNA from 1 species
UACGUAGGGGGCAAGCGUUGUCCGGAAUCAUUGGGCGUAAAGCGCGUGUAGGCGGCUUGGUAAGUCUGCUCUGAAAGCCCGGGGCUCAACCCCGGGAGGCGGGUGGAUACUGUCAAGCUCGAGUCCGGAAGAGGAGUGUGGAAUUCCUGGUGUAGCGGUGAAAUGCGCAGAUAUCAGGAGGAACACCAAUGGCGAAGGCAGCACUCUGGGACGUGACUGACGCUGAGGCGCGAAAGCUAGGGGAGCAAACGGG